rnacentral:lncRNA from 1 species
AGUUCUGAUCUGUAUUUUCCUCCUCUUUCUCUUCUGAAGUUCUACUGAUUUGGAUGGCUUCCUGAAAAGGAACAGUAUCUUCAGCAUAAUGUAAGUGAAACUGGUUAACCAACUCAGUGUAGCUCCCCAGCAUGGCAGCCAGCCCCUUCUUCUGGCUCCAUCACCGCCUUACCAGGGCGCUCAGAAAGCUUCACGAACUGAUGCAAAAAUGCUCCUCCAAUCUGCCCUGGCUUAUUCUGUUUGCCUGAAAGACUGCCACAAGCUAGUUACUAAGGCGUUUCUCACAUUCCACAAAAUUUAAAAUAUCUCAGCCCUGGAGUGCCCAUCGUGGCUCAGCAGUUAACAAAUCUGACUAGCAUCCAUGAGGAUGCAGGUUUGAUCCUGGGCCUCACUCAGUGGGUUAAGGAUGUGGUAUUGCCGUGAACUUCGGUGUAAGUGGCAGACGCAGCUCGGAUCCCCCGUUGCUGUGGCUGUGGUGUAGGCCAGCGGCAACAGCUACGAUUUGACCCCUAGCCUGGGAACCUCCGUAUGCCUCGGGGAGUCAGGCCUCUGGGGUUCCUUCCACCAACAGCCGCACUCAAAGUGUUCAGUUCACAUCCGCGUAGAAGAAAGCGAGUUCUCUACCAAAGGAGUUAGGUCAGAGGUUGGGUCUAACUACCUCACCUACCGGAGGCACUGAAAUUUAAAAACAACGAGAAUGUCCAAGAAUACAGAACACUGAGAAGGAAAAAAAGAGGUACGUCCACAUAUGGAUCUGAAUUGGAUCUGCUUAACCUUGGGACUCCUGGGGUGAGAAAAGGUGGGAACUUCAACAAAAGAGCGCCGCAGGCACAGAGCAGGUGUUUAGUCACAGCCAAACCAAGCUAAGGUUAAGCGUCUUUGCUGGUUUGGUUUACGUGCUCUGUUGCCACAUAAAAUGAUUCAAAGACUUGAUUUGAAUACAUUCAUCUGCCUAUCAAUGACUCAAUCACUCUCUCACUCACUUCUGAGGUUUUACAAAGUGAAGCUUAACUUCCUAGGACUAAGGGAACCAUUUGAUCCCUAGGCUCUGCGAGCACUGGAUGGCUGCCAGAACACUUCUCAACACUUACCCCAAAGCAAGAGGCAAGCGUGAUAAAAAUGAGCCCAAACUGACCAGGGUUUAUGCAGUUAAGGAUCAUCCUCCAGUACCCAGCACGGGCAGCACUGUGGGGUCAGGUUUCAUUUUCCAGAAUUAAGCUGGGCUUUCCCCAAAGUGUGAGACCCUCCCCCACUUGCCAUCCACCAGCUGCUAAAGUGGGGGGUGGGGGGAGGGCAGUGGGGCCGUGGUCCACAGGGAGCCUAAUACAAGCAAGUGCUGAAGGAAAAGGAAGCCAGCUUUCCUUUAAGCAUGAUUCCAGCUUCUGCACUGGAAUCU